rnacentral:rRNA from 1 species
GACAGAGGGUGCAAACGUUUGUUCGGAAUUACUGGGGCGUAAAGCGCGUGUAGGCGGCUGUGCAAGUCGGAUGUGAAAUCCCGUGGCUCAACCACGGAAGUGCACCCGAAACUGCGCAGCUGGAGUCUCGGAGAGGAAGGUGGAAUGCUUGGUGUAGAGGUGAAAUUCGUAGAUAUCAAGCGGAACACCGGUGGCGAAGGCGGCCUUCUGGACGAUGACUGACGCUGAGACGCGAAAAGCGUUGGGGAGCAAACAGG